AACUGUCUACAAUCCUAUAUUUUUUUUAUCAUGUAUCGUCAAUAUUUAAUAUAAUAAGUCCGGUGACGGUUUUAUUUUACACUUUAAUGACAUAAGUGGUGUACAAUUAAUAGAAGAGCAGUUAAUCACUGCCUCGUUCUGAAUAAAUGUUUGCUUCCUGCUCUUCUAUUCAUUAGGAGGAAAUACAUUAAAAAGGCGACGAAAUUAUCUUUAACAAGCAAUAUGUAAAAGUUAUAGCAAUAUAAGGUCAGUAAGCUUGUUUUGUUCUAUAUAUAUGUAUUUUUAUUUUUAUAUUGCCCACUUAUUUAACGACAUAGAUGAUUGUUAGAUGAGCCUCAUAUUAAUGUAAUCUCGCCACUUUGGCUUAUAUUUUAUACAUUUGACGAUAUUUGUAAGAGAAAUUGAAAGACACAAAUAAGAUUAGCAUAGGAAAGAUGAAAACAAAGGUUGAUAAAAAAAAAGUGUAGAAUUAUAUCAGUCUUAGGCUGGACCUUUUGUAGAAACAACUAUAUGUUGAGAGAAAUUUAAAAAAAAAACACACACGUUUUACUGGUCUUUCAUUCUUAAAACGUUAAUAAUAAAUUUAUCUUGUACCAUUUACUUUGCAAUAUCAUUUGACAGACAGUGUCGAAAUACUAGUUCGCUAAAUAUGUAAUAUUUGAUAAUCAGUAAACAUGGUUUGUUACAUGUAGCUGAAUCCAUUUAAUUAAUGUUGUCAGUGUUCACUGAUUUCCCCUUUUGACAAUUUGAAACAAAUGUUCUCACUUGACUGAUCAAUAAAAAGGAGGCUUAUAAUAUGCAUGUUAAGUAACAUGUUCAAAUAAAACAAGUCAAGAUGGUUGUGUAUCAACAUAGUGAAAUAGGAUUCAUAUUAUACACCAACGACAAUUAAAGAGGGGUUGAGCAUGUUAACAACACCUCGAUUUUGACAAAAAUGCAAAAAUGCUGAUACAGUUAACAAAUUGUUGAAAACAGUUAACAGCUUUAAAUUGUCUCAAAUAACAGUACAACGCCUUAAAGGGAAAACAGGUUAACAUAAAAAGGUAGCCCCCCUCAUUAAAUAGUAUUUAAACCUACCAAUAAACCUACCAUACAAAUACCAAACCUAGAGCCAGAAUGAUUUACUCUUUAAUGAAAGAAUGCACGUCUUUAUGGUGUUAUUAUUCUAAGUUUAGUUCCAAAGGGUAUAUUGUUAUAAAGGUCUUAGGGUUUACCAUAUUACAUUGUUUGAUACCUAAAACGAGACAACAUGUACUAGACAUGUAAAUCAACCGAUUGACUUUGAAGUCUGUGUCAAUGACAUCAGACAACAACAAAAAUGUCAUCAAUUGAUUAGGUUUUCUCUCCCAAUGACACAAUUCAACCUAUACACAUCCUGUGAUUGUUUAUACAGUUCGUCUCAAUGACGUCAGCCAACAUAUUAAAUAGGUAUCCGGUUUAGUAUGCUGUAUGUAUUAAUGACACAAGACAACAUAUAAUAUAAUCCUCCGAUUUAGUAUGCUCUAUGUAUUAAUGACACAAGCCAACAUAUAAUAUAAUCCUCCGAUUUAUUAUGGUGUAUGUAUUAAUGAUACAAGACAAUAUAUAAUAUAAUCCUCCGAUUUAUUAUGCUGUAUGUAAUAAUGACACAAGACAACAUAUAAUAUAAUCCUCCGAUUUAUUAUGCUGUAUGUAUUAAUGACACAAGACAACAACAAAAUUUCAUCAAUUGAUUACGUUUUCUCUCCCAAUGACACAAUCCAACCUAUACACAUCCUGUGAUUGUUUAUACAGUCCGUCUCAAUGACGUCAGCCAACAUAUAAAAUAGUCCUUCGGUUUGUUAUGCUCUAUGUAUUAAUGACACGAGGCAACAUAUACCAUAAUUCUCAGAUUGAUUAUACAAUCUGUCUAUAACGUGCCAACAUAUUAAUAGUUAUGUUUAGUAUGCUGUAUGUAUUAAUGACACAAGACAACAUAUAAUAUAAUCCUCCGAUUUAGUAUGCUCUAUGUAUUAAUGACACAAGACAACAUAUAAUAUAAUACUCCGAUUUAUUAUGCUGUAUGUAUUAAUGAUACAAGACAAUAUAUAAUAUAAUCCUCCGAUUUAUUAUGCUGUAUGUAAUAAUGACACAAGACAAUAUAUAAUAUAAUCCUCCGAUUUAUUAUGCUGUAUGUAAUAAUGACACAAGACAACAUAUAAUAUAAUCCUCCGAUUUAUUAUGCUGUAUGUAUUUAUGACACAAGACAAUAUAUAAUAUAAUCCUCCGAUUUAUUAUGCUGUAUGUAUUAAUGACACAAGACAACAAAUAAUAUAAUCCUACGAGUUAUUUUGCUGCAUGUAUUAAUGACACAAGACAAUAUAUAAUAUAAUCCUCCGAUGUAUUAAUGACACAAGACAAUAUAUAAUAUAAUCCUCCGAUGUAUUAUGCUGUAUGUAUUAAUGACACAAGACAAUAUAUAAUAUAAUCCUCCGAUUUAUUAUGCUGUAUGUAUUAAUGACACAAGAAAAUUAUAAUAUAAUCCUCCGAUUUAUUAUGCUGUAUGUAUUUAUGACACAAGACAAUAUUAAAUAUAAUCCUCCGAUUUAUUAUGCUGUAUGUAUUAAUGACACAAGACAACAUAUAAUAUAAUCCUCCGAUUUAUUAUGCUGUAUGUAUUAAUGACACAAGACAAUAUAUAAUAUAAUCCUCCGAUUUAUUAUGCUGUAUGUAUAAUGACCCAAGACAAUAUAUAUAUAAUCCUCCGAUUAUGCUGUAUGUAUUAAUGACACAAGACAACAUAUAAUAUAAUCCUCCGAUUUAUUAUGCUGUAUGUAAUAAUGACACAAGACAACAUAUAAUAUAAUCCUCCGAUGUAUUAUGCUGUAUGUAAUAAUGACACAAGACAAUAUAUAAUAUAAUCCUUCGAUUUAUUAUGCUGCAUGUAUUAAUGACACAAAACAAUAUAUAAUAUAAUCCUCCGAUUUGUUAUGCUGUAUGUAUAAUUGACACAAGACAACAUAUAAUAUAAUCCUCCGAUUUAUUAUGCUGUAUGUAUUAAUGACACAAGACAAUAUAUAAUAUAAUCCUCCGAUUUAUUUUGCUGUAUGUAUUAAUGACACAAGACAAUAUAUAAUAUAAUCCUCCGAUUUAUUAUGCUGUAUGUAUUAAUGACACAAAACAACAUAUAAUAUAAUCCUCCGAUUUGUUAUUCUGUAUGUAAUAAUGACACAAGACAAUAUAUAAUAUAAUCCUCCGAUGUAUUAUGCUGUAUGUAUUAAUGACACAAGACAAUAUAUAAUAUAAUCCUCCGAUGUAUUAUGCUGUAUGUAUAAUGACAUGACAAUAUAUAAUAUAAUCCUCCGAUUUAUUAUGCUGUAUAUUAAUGACAAGACAACAUAUAAUAUAAUCCUGAUAUUAUGCUGUUUGUAUUAAUGACACAAGACAUAUAUAUAAUCCGAUUAUUUUGCUGUAUGUAUUAAUGACACAAGACAACAUAUAAUAUAAUCCUACGAGUUAUUUUUGCUGUAUGUAUUAAUGACACGAGACAACAUAUAAUAUAAUCCUCCGAUGUAUUAUGCUGUAUGUAUUAAUGACACAAAACAAUAUAUAAUAUAAUCCUCCGAUUUAUUAUGCUGUAUGUAUUAAUGACACAAGACAACAUAUAAUAUAAUCAUCCGAUUUAUUAUGCUGUUUGUAUUAAUGACACAAGACAACAUAUAAUAUAAUCAUCCGAUUUAUUAUGCUGUUUGUCUCAAAGACACCAGACCAUAUGUUAUAUAAUCCCCCGAUUGAUUAUCAAGACUUAUCAAUUACACCAGACAAAAUGUAAUACAAUCCACCGAUUGCUUAACAUGUCUGUCGCAAUGACAACAUAAAAUAUGCAAUAUAAUCCAUCGAUUGAUUAUGCUGUAUGUCUCAAUGACACCAGACAACAUAUGAUACAAUCCCCUGAUUGAUUAGUCUGUCCGUUUCAAGGACACCAAGUAACAUAUAAUGUAUUUCACCAUUUGAUUAUGCUGUCUGUCUCAAUGACAUCAGACAACAUAUAUAAUAAAAAAAAAUUAUUAUUCUGUCCGUCGCAUUGAUACCAGGUAACACAAUGUAUUUCACCAUUUGAUUAUGCUGUCUGUCUCAGUGACACCAGAAAUACAUCGAUUGAUUAUCAUGUUUGUCUUCAUGACGUCAGACAAUAUAUAGUAGAGCAACGUUUUUGAAAACAACAGAGAGAGAGGGCAUCACUACUGUUGUACAUUUUAAUAAAACACCGUUAUACAGAAUUAAGAAAAAACAAAAACAUAACUGUAUCAAUGCUGUUUACAGUUUAGAAUUAAAAUUCAUGCAAACAAAUGGAGUUAAAAUUCAUUGAACGCACAAAAUGACUGGUUUCCACACCCUUGUUUUAUGCGCUUUCGAAACAAAGUGUGUUUAUACAUUUAACAUCUUGUAAUAACUUUUUUUUAUUUUCUUAUAAACUCUUAAUAUUCUAAAUAUUACCGCUUAAUAUAAAAACUAUUACCCCUUAAUUAACUAAAUAUUACCCCUUAAUAUAUUAAAAAUUACCCCACAAUACCUUUAAUAUUUACUACACUCGUAAUAACAUGCAUUAAAACGUACAUUAUAUAAGGUUAAAAUCAGAAAAUGUAGAGAAUUUAACAUGUCUACUUAAAACCUACGGAUGCUGUCAAGUGUAAAUCUUUAUAUUUACAACCUAUAUCUUCCUGUUAUGAUGAGUCAACAUUCAACGUAUAAUGUUAUCACGUAGAAAGUAUUAUGUUUAUAUUCAAAACCUUGUUUCAAGGUCGAACUAAAUGUAAAAUGACAGAGUAUAUAACGGUCAGAAAUAACUUAUACAUUACCCAAGUGGUCACUUUUACACUGGUCGAAUGUCAUCCUCUUUAUUUCCCUAGUUGUUUUUUUAAAGAUAAUUUAAAAGUUAUCGUUCAUAUCAUGCAUAUUGUACGAGUUGUCGUAUUGUUUAUUGGCCAAGUUUUACAAAAUCAAGUGGUCAUUCAGUAGAUUUAUCAGUAGUUAUCUUAUAAAUAAAGGCAACAGUAGUAUACCGCUGUUCAAAACUCAUAAAUCCAUGGACAAAAAACAAAAUCGGGGUAACAAACUAAAACUGAGGGAAAUGCAUUAAAUAUAAGAGUAGUAUUACUUGAAUGUAUAUUUACCCGAGUGUUAUCUGAUUUAUUUCCCUAGUGGUUAUUUUGUAUAUUGAUCGAGUGUUAUUCAUUAUAUUAUUCAACUGGUCGUUUUGUAAGAUUGACCAUUGCUUAUCUAAUCAUUACAUAAGUGGUCCUUGCGUAGAGAAUUGGCCGUCUGUCAUUUUUUUUUAGAUUUGCAUUUUGGCAGUUGUCUUAUAUAUUACCUUGUACGUAGUCGUUUUACACAUGACAACAUGUUACCGUCAUUUUGGUAAUUGGCCGAUGGUUAUUUAUAAUAUAUCUCAGUGGUUGUAUUGUCGAUUGGCCGUUUGUUAACGUUUAUAAAGCAUGGUUGCUCAUUUUGUUGAUUAGUCAAAUGAGAACUUAAACGCGUGGAAAUUUAGUUUGAAUGAUUGAGCGUUACCUAAUUUGUUACCCGAUUAACAUUGAUUCAGAUUGACCGAGUGCUACCUGACAUAUAACCGAGUCUUACUUGGUUGAUUGGCAGAGUUUUGUUCUUAUUUAUAAACCAUUAUUUUUUAGUUUGAGCUAGGGUAAACGCAGUCAGGUUAUAAUGUUUACUGUUAUUGAGGGCUUAUUGCCCUGUUCAGAAAGAACCAAUCAAGUUUGAAAGCGGUCUUUGUAUAUCCACAAGCAUACGUUCUAUACACUGUGUUGGUCUAUGUUUUUCAAUAACCGUGACGUAUUAACAAAAGUAUUUUGACACAAGAAGUGAACAGAUAAACGGCAGGAAAAUAAAAAUCGUCUUUGAAUAUUAUACAUUCCCCAGUCAACAGAAAACGACUGUUUUAAAAUAUGAAAAAAAACUAAUGUUGAAUAAUGUCGAAAUAAAAAACAAUUCUUUGUUAAAAUACGUAUAAAAUAUCAUUAAAACGCUUUUAAUAAACGAAUAAACCCUUACAUGUUAGUUCGUAGUGAAAAUGAUCAUAGAACAUUAAUUAAACUAUGGAAUAAUUGUGCUUUAAACUUACUAUCAGUUUUUGUGAGUACUCCUAUUUACAACUAAAGUUGCUGCGUGACUAUUGCUUUUGCGUAAGUUGGUUUUUCAGUGCUUCGAACCAAUUGAUCAAGUUAACUUAUUAGUACAGUGCAUUUCUUUUUUCCAUGUUAAUGAAGAAUUGAGCGGUAACAGUCAUAUUUCACCCCGCCAUUUACUUUAUAUGCCUGUACCAAGACAAAGGCCUGUUAUCAGUGGUUCAUGUCUGUCAUAUUUGCUGUUUAUAAUCUACUUUUCUAUAUAAAUGUGGCUGUUAGUUUUCAUGUCUGAAUUGUGUCACACUUUCAACUAAACAGGAUAGGUAUUUCUCAUUGUUGAAGGCCGUCAGUUGUCAUUCAAUUUUGUUUGGUCUUCUUUCUUUUAAAAACUGUAUACCUGUCCCAAAGCCUCGUUUAAUUCAUUAUAUACUUAUCGCAAAUUCAGAAUAAUAUUUAUCUGUUCUGUUCUGGAGACCGUUUCAAUGUGUUGCAUGUUCUUCACAUGGUACUUUGUUGAUGAUGUUUGUGGAGACGAACAGCGCGUAAGCCGCACGAAAUGUUAAAACUGGUAGAAACAAAUUGUACAUAUACCAUCUACACGUGCAUGGUCACUUGUUUACAAUGAAAUGCGUUAUACCAAGUCUUAUGAUAUAGGUAAAUGCGCCUAGUCCGACCUUACACAAAUGAAUUCGAACUUAAAAAAAGUACUGCCUACAAAUCAUAACAAAAACAAAUAAAUGGAUGAAACCUUGGAACCUUAUCAACGUUUCGGAAUUAACUACCCGCUUUAGUGUUGACUUACAUUUUAUGCAGAUCAAGUCGAAUAUGUAUUUUACAUUGAUUGAUAAUGAUAUGUUAGCAUGUAUGUUCACUUGACAAAAUUGGAGGAUAUAUACAAUCAUAAUCAUUAUCAGGACUUUGUUACUGUUAAUUCAGAAAAUUAUGCAGAUGAUUAUACUUUUGCGAUAAAUCAACGGGGUUAUAAUUGCAACAGUUGAAACUUGCAUUAGGAAAUAUUGUAUUUGAAUAGAACAAAAUCGCAAUAAUAACAUGAAUAAAGGCACGCACUAAUUUCUGAAUUAACAGUAUUCCAAGCUAGAAUAAAGAAAUGAUUUACAGGACAUUAUACGAUGAGUCGUAUGUAGACGAAACGCGAGUCUGGCGUACUAAAUUAUUAUCCUGGAACCUUUGAUAACUAGUUACACCACUGGUGCGAUGCCACUGCUGUCGGACGUUUUGUCCUCGGGGGUUUCACCCGCCCAGUAGUCGGCACUCAGGUGUUGACAUGGAUAUUAAUAAUGUGGUAUUUUUUUGUAAAUUUUCUGUUUACAAAACUUUGAAUUUUCGAAAAAAAGAAGGAUUUUCCUAUCCCAGGCAUAGAUUACCUUACCCGUAUUUGGCACAACAUUUUUAGAAUUUUGAUUUCUAAAUGCUAGACUUUGUACUUUUUUGGCUUAAUGAUUAUUUUGGUAUGAGCGUCACUGAUCACGAAAUGCUCGUACUAAUAUAUAAUCCUGGUACCUUUGAUAACUAUUGACCAUCAAAUUGAAGUUUGAAAUAAUAUAGAGGUAAUUGUCAUUACCUGUUACUCCUCCUAUAUACAUAACACUACUUACUGGACAUGCAUAUUAUAAUACUGUCAUCGAAUAAAUCAUUACUUCCCUCCCCCUUUUUAAUUGUUUUUCCUUAAACUAAGAAAAAUCAGAUUGACUGUAAGUGGAUAGUUGUUUCAUUUGCAAUCCUAUAGCAUCUUAUUUAGUUUGUAUUGGUUAUCUUCAGACUCAUGUAUAUGUUUUAAAAAUAUGAGCUUUUUUUUAAUUCUCAAUAGUUAAUCAAACUGUAAUUACAUGUUUUCAAUAUUGGUUAGCAUUAUGUCUAUAAAUUGUCGAGAACAGCCUUUUUUUUAAUCUGUAAUGUUCGUUGUCGGCACCAGAACAGAUAACAGCAAUGCGUUAUUUGAGUAUAUUGUUUCAUAAAUGCUAUUAAUGGUUUCAAAACCGGUAUUCUUUUAUGUUUUCUGAAUUUCAAAUACGUAACAUUUUCAAGAUGCAUGAACACAAUUGAGAUAUGUUGUUUAAACGUUGAAAAUCAUGUCAGUCACAUAUUUCUUUGAACAUUUUUUAGAUUAUGUUGAUAACACAAAGAAACAACAUUGCCUUAGACAGAUUACUCAUAUGAUUUGCUAAUUUUCCCUUUGUUACCAGUUGAAACUGAUUGUCCUACAAAUUAAGCUACAAAUACACCGUUUAAUGAAGUAGAUAUUUACUGUAAAAAAAUCAUUAUUAUGGUAGUUGUUUUCAAUUCGUAUGUUGCGCUUGAGAUUUUGAUUCUGCCAACUUAUAAAGUACUUUUCCUUUUGUUUUUCUUUUGGAGUUCGAUUUUUUUGUUAUUGUUUUUUUUCAAAACUUUUAAAGAAAACAAUAUAACUAAAAAAUGUUUGAUGAGUAUAUCUAAAUAAAUAAUUUUAAGAGAACUACCUGUGCCCGUUAUGACUGUACAUAGAAAGGAGAAUGACAGUUUGAAUGGUUUUACAUCUAGUUAUUUUAAGGGCCCUUUAUAGCUUGCUGUUCGGUAUGGGUCAAGGCUUCUUAUGGAAGACCAUACUUAGACCUAUAAUUGUUUACUUUUAUAAAGUAUGACUUGGAUGGAGAGUUGUAUCCUUGGCACUCAUACAACAUCUUCCUAUAUCUAUUGAGCUUUUGAUUUUGCUUUUUGAUAAAUCACUUUAUUUGAAUUUGCAUUGGAGUUCGGUAUUUAGGUUAUUCUACUUUCUACAAAACAUUAGGAUUGUUUUCAACAUCGAUUUAAUAAGACGUUUAAAUAGCCUAUAAUUAGUAUGGCGUUCAUUAUCACUGGACUAGUAUAUAUUUGUUUAGGGGGCAGCUGAAGGACGCCUCCGGGUACGGGAAUUUCUCGCUACAUUGAAGACCUGUUGGUGACCCUUUGCUGUUGUUUUUUAUUUGGUCGGGUUGUUGUCUCUUUAACACAUUCCCCAUUUCCAUUCUCAAUUUUAUUAUUGAAAUUUGUGGACAAUUUUAUAUUAUUUUUAGGUUUAUAUAAGUAUACACGUGUUGCAUGCCAAUUUCACAAAACCGCUAUGAAUAAUUACAAUUUAAAAAAAAAAUGCUUGCAGUACAUUUUAAGUGAUUAUCGGCCAAAAUCAACUUAUUUAGCCAAAUGUGAAGCUUAACGCAGUGUCAACCUAACUGUUUACCAAAAUAACUGUUCAAUACCAAAUAUGUCAUGCUAAAUUGAAAUGUACUUACUGCAUCAUAUUAUUUCAUAUUAAAUAACGUACUUGUCUGUACGAUGCAAUUGGACUGAAGACAACUCGCUGCGUUGUCAAUUCGCCCAACUGAUGGAAAACAGUUUAUCUGUUGCUUAAUAAAGAUGUCAACUCAACCCUAAACUUCAUAGGACUGGAAUCUAGUAAGAAAAAAAUUAACCAUAAUUAACAAGAUCCAAAACUUGAUUUAAUAAUGAAAACUAUAUGCAAUCCUUGCUUUUUUCAAGAUUUCGAAACACGUUAGGUUUAUCGCAUUGAGUGAAUACUGUAAUAUAUAGAUUUAAAUAAAAACAAGUAAAAAUUAUCAGUCUCCUCCACCCGUUAUAUAAUAGAUGUAUAGUAAAUAAUAAAUUGAAAGCAUUAAAUAAAUCAACAAAUAACGUCAAGCUAAUCUAAUGAAAAUAUUAUGAUAUAUCCACUUGUAACCUACGGAAGAUGUCAAUAUUUACACCCUUCAUCUUCCUGUGAUGAUGCGUCAUCAUUUAACUUAUGAUUUUGUCACGUAGUACUUCUUUGUAUAUACUUGUUUUCAAGGUCGAAAACAAUGUACAACAAUAACUAAACAUGUUGCAGUCUGAUUUAUCACAAAUAUUUCCCAAGUGUAGUCUCUUUAUUAUGAGAUUGACCAUUUAUAUUUCGUAAAAAAUUACUUGUAUUCGUUUAUAAUGCGAAAUCAUUGUGCUUUUUUCCCGAUGAGAUAUUUCAGAUAGCUGGUGGCUGAUGUUUUCUGUUGGACGUUUUAAUAUUCAAUUCAGUGAGAGAAAAAAAACCGCUAUUAAUACAAAUAAACUCAUCAUAGAUACCAGGACUAAAUUUUGUAUAUACACCAGACGCGCGUUUCGUCUCCAAAAGACUCAUCAGUGACGCUCGAAUCCAAAAAAGUUUUAAAAAGCCAAAUAAAGUACAAAGUUGAAGAGCAUUGAGAUCGAAAAUUCCUAAAAGUGUUGCCAAAUACAGCUAAGGUAAUCUAUGCCUGAGGUAGAAAAGCCUUAGCAUUUAAAAAAUAUCGAAAUUUUGUAAACAGUUAAUCUAUAAAUAUACUAGGCUUGUGAUACCCUCGGGGAAAUAAAUCUCCACCAGCAGUGGCAUCGACCCAGUGGUUGUAAAUAAACUCAUCAUAGAUACCAGGACUAAAUUUUGUAUAUACACCAGACGCGCGUUUCGUCUUCAAAAGACUCAUCAGUGACGCUCGAAUCAAAAACAAAAAAAGGCAUGAUAACUAAAAGCUAACACUUCACAUAAGGAGAACGCUUCUCCGUCCCAUCGUAAUUAUGUUUGUAGUAAAAUCUGGAGGACACAUACUUAAUUAAAUCAUAAUUAAAAAAAUGCUUUUGAUAUGAUCAAAAUGUAUUAUCACAGAAAAAAGUAAAAUCACAAAAAUACUGAACUCAGAGGAAAAGCAAUUCGGAAAGUCCAUAAUCACAUGGCAAAAUCAAAUAACAAAACGCAUCAAAAACGAAUGGACAAGAACUGUCAUAUUCCUGACUUGGUACAGGCAUUUUCAAAUGUAGAAAAUGGUGGAUUGAACCUGGUUUUAUAGCUAGCUAAACCUCUCACUUGUAUGACAGUCGCAUCAAUUUCCAUUAUAUUGUCAUCGAUGCGUGAACAAAACAAACAGACACAAUAGGUCAAAAUGUCAAAAAUAGGGGUACAGCAGUCAACAUUGUGUUAUCAUCUUAAUCACUAUAAAAACAACAAAUGUAACGAAGAAGCACAAAAAGGCAUACAUCAAAUUAACAUCCUCAUUUUGAUUAUAUUAUACGAUUUUAUUUGUCUAUGUAAAAUGCACCCAUCAAGGAAGGAGGGUUUUGAGUACUGGUGUAAAAUUGCGCGUUUGAAAUUCGCACAGGUAGACAUGAAAUAAUUUUGUCGUUCAAAGUAUGACGAUAGAGAAAAGUUUGUAUUUAUAUAGAAUUUACAUUUGUAAUAGGCGGUACCAAAUCAAUAUGAAAACAUAAUUAUGUACUGACUUGUUGGUCUUUUUGGUUCUGACUUGAAUCACCACUAACGAUUGGUGCCCGUUGUGUGUUGAUAAUUAGAAGAUACCAUCAACUGGUAUUUGCACCCACCAAAUCACUAAUUGAUGGCGUUGGCGCCUAAAAUACAUCACAACUAUCUCUAUACGUCAAAUAAUGCAUUUAAAAUCUAUUACACGUUAUCUGAGGUUGGGCGUCCGUUUUCCUAACACACAUUGUAAGUUGAUGCCAUGAAAAUUAGUGAUGUUAUCUAAUCAACCUAAACGUUAUACAUGAUGUUUCAUUAACAUAUAAAAAAGAAGAUGUGGUAUGAUUGCCAAUGAGACAACUGUCCACAAGAGACCAAAAUGACACAAACAUUAACAACUAUAGGUCACCGUACGGCCUUCAACAAUGAGCAAAGCCCAUACCGCAUAGUCAGCUAUAAAAGGCCCCGAUAAGACAAUGUAAAACAAUUCAAACGAGAAAACCAACGGCCUUAUUUAUAUAUAAAAAAAUGAACGAAAAACAAAUAUGUUACACAUAAACAAACGACAAUCACUGAAUUACAGGCUCCUGAUUUGGGACAGGCACAUACAUAAAUAAUGUGGCGGGGCUAAACAUGUUGGCGGGAUCCCAACCCUCCCCUAACCAUUUGCUAACAUAAGAACGAUAUAUGUUUGAUAUUCAUUUAUUUGUAAAUGCAUUCUUACAUGUAAUCUAAAUAUACGCACCUUCAAAAUGCCGCCUAAUUGUAAAUAUUUUGUCUUGAAUUAAAAUUCAAAUCAUUAUCACCCAUGACAGACUGAUAUGGGAAAACAAAUCAAGGACAAACCCAGCAAAUUUUUUAAAAUAUCACGUUUCUACUUCUUACAGAAGCUCAAUGCCAAGUGCAAUCUACAAUCUACAUCUUCUUGUUAUGAUGAGUCAACAUUCAUAUCAUAGUGUUAUUACGGAGUACAUGUAGUAAUUAUACUCUCUUUUAAAAUAUUUUUAAAAUAUGUUGUCAAAAAUAUAAUUACUCGAGUAAGCCGAUUGUUUUUUAUUCAUAAUUUCUGAAAUUCUCAAAUGUUUUUUUCACUAGUCAGAUUAAUUGCUAAAUAUUUUUGCCCGUCCUAUGUGAGAAGACUGUAGGUCAGUGGGUGUAGCCAAUAGAUGUAUGUGACAAUUUCUUGAAUUUUUUUGUUAUAGAUUGACAGUUUGUUGAUGUUUCAUGUGGAUACCUUUUAUAGUCAUUUAUAUAGUAUGGGGUUUUCUCAAUGUUGAAGGCCAUGCUUGUGUCUACAAUUCUUGACACCCAUUACAUUUGACAUCUGAAGGACACUUUUUUUUCUGGCAAUCAUAAAACAUCUCUUACUUUUAUAUCAGUCAUGUUUUCUAAAGCGAAAUCAGAACCAGUAACUUAAAGUAAAGACUACAGUAUAACCAGCAGUCAUUGAUUAUUAAGUUUAAUUACGGUGCACUCAUGUUUUUUUAAGAUGAAAUCACUCUAGUUUGGAAAUAUUACUUAUACUGUUGCACUCGUAUUUGUAUUAUCAUGUUGUUGAAUAAGUGUUACCCGCUCAACCAACAGUGAGAGUUGUGCGUGCAAAUAUAAGUAUUAGAAUAUACAGAUUUGUGGAUAACGGAUAAUAUGCAUUUUAUAUAUCUUUUUGGACUUCUUUUUAUGUGAAUCGUCAAGAGAAUAUGUACACGCAUGAACGGGAUAUAUCAUGUCCAUUUCACAAUCUGGUCCAAACAAAGUCGUUUUAAAAUGUGUAACAUUGAAAUGAUUGUGAAUAAAUUGAUACAUAGACUAUCAUAUUUGACUGAUAUUGUUAUUAUAUGACACGAACGGAUACACAGACUAUCAUAAUUGACUGAUAUCGACUAUCAUGUUUUCCCAUUACAUUCUUUAUAAUAACGAUUGCCUAAUGAUAUUUGAAACUGAGUUGAACGUUUAAACAAAUUUAUAAAAACAUAUUUGUGCUAUCUCCGAAACUUAAUUAGGAAAACAGUGACUUUUCGCAUUCAUAAUUUUGGUAUAAAUCAUAUUUUCAAAAAAUAUUUUAAAUUGUGUGACAAUCGGUUUUGUUUUACCCGUCUUUGUAAAAAUCAUGCAGAGGGUGAUUCAUGACAUGUCAUAGAAGUAUUUGUUUUGCUCAAUAUAACUUUGGUUGAUAGGUAAAAUUAUGUCUUUAUUUUCCCUAUAUAAUGCUCGUUGCAAUAGUGACCGUCAAAACAACAUUUUGCCUGAAUAUAGAUGAAAAAGACGCUUUUGAAAAUUGAAAAUAAAGGGAAUUUAAAGUCCGAUAAAAAACCAAAAAAAAACCAAUAAGAUUGUUUACUACAUUAUGAACAAACAAACCCCAAACUAUUCAAAAACGUUAAAAUUAUGAAUUUACUAAAUAGUUUGUUUUCACAGCAACCAUUGAAAAAUGUGUUGAAAUUCGAAAAUGAAAAAAAUAUUGUUAAUUAUCAAUGAGAAUAUAUGAUUUAUAGAGAUAUGUGGGUGCAGAAUAAAAAUUGUUCUCUCUGGGUAUGGUGCAUCCUCUUUUCUGUUUAUUAAAUCUAUUCUUCCAAGUUUAAUUGUGAGUAUUUUGAGCUUUUAAUAAUAAAAUUGAGAAUGGAAAUGGGGAAUGUGCCAAAGAGACAACAACCCGACCAUAGAAAAAAACAACAGCAGAAGGUCACACCAACAGGUCUUCAAUUUAGCGAGAAAUUCCCGCACCCGGAGGCGUCCUUCAGCUGGCACCUAACAAAUAUAUACUAGUUCAGUGAUAAUGAACGCCAUACUAAUUUCCAAAUUGUACACAAGAAACUAAAAUUAAAAUAAUACAAGACUAACAAAGGCCAGAGGCUCCUGACUUGGGACAGGCGCAAAAAUGCGGCGGGGUUAAACAUGUUUGUGAGAUCUCAACCCUCCCCCUAUACCUCUAGCCAAUGUAGAAAAGUAAACGCAUAACAAUACGCACAUUAAAAUUCAGUUCAAGAGAAGUCCGAGUCUGAUGUCAGAAGAUGUAACCAAAGAAAAUAAACAAAAUGACAAUAAUACAUAAAUAACAACAGACUACUAGCAGUUAACUGACAUGCCAGCUCAAGACUUCAAUUGAACUGACUAAAAGAUUAUGAUUUCAUCAUAUGAACAUCAGGCACAAUCCUUCCCGUUAGGGGUUUAGUAUCAUACCAUCAUAACAUAUAUGAGAAGAACAUAACCCGUGUCAUGCCAACAACUGGUUUUUGAAUAAAUGUGUUUAGUUCCGAUGCAAAGACCUUAUAAGUGAAUCAAUAUUAACGCCAAAAUAUGCAAUCUUUAAUGACCUGACAACAGUAUCGUAACUAUAUCCCUUCUUAAUAAGUCUAUUCAAAGGUUUUGUAAGUUUUUGAGGUGAAUACUGACACCUUUGUGUCUUUAUAAAGAAUAUUUCCAUAAAAAUUGGAUGUGAAAUACCUGAAACGUAUAAGAAGUCUGCAUGUUGAGCUAUAUUUACGAAUGAUGUCCUUAUACGAUUGAUAAAAUUUAGUAAAUGUUUUGACUAGUUUGUGAUAUCGAAAACCCUGGUGUAAUAAUUUGUCAGUAAUACAUAAAUUUCUCUCGUUAAAAUCUAAAACAUUAUUACAUACACGAGAGAAUCGUACAAGUUGAGAUAUAUAAACACCGUAAGAUGGUGACAAGGGAACGUCACCAUCUAAAAAUGGAUAAUUAACGAUAGGAAAUGAAAAAUCAUCUCUUUAUCAUAAAUUUUAGUAUUCAGCUUUCCGUUAGUGAUAUAGAUAUCAAGAUCGAGGAAAGGGCAGUGGUCAUUGUUAGUAUUAGCUUUAUUUAAAGUAAGUUCAACAGGAUAAAUUUCUUUAAUAUACAUAUUGAAGUCGUCAUUAUUGAGAGCCAAAAUAUCAUCCAAAUAUCUAAAAGUAUUAUUAAAUUUGUUCAUCAAAUGUUGUUUCGAUGGGUCUUUACUUAUUUUUGUCAUAAAGUUAAUAAUAGUUUUUUUUAUGUUAAAACAAGUGCAAUUAUUUCUAUGGUGAUGACAACCAUGAACCGUUGUUGCGCAAACAGGUUAAUGCAGUGUAAACAGAUUUAGCACUAAUUUUCAAUGAUUGCGUCGAGAUCAACAUUUGACGUCAGGUUCCUUAACUAUGUGGAAUGAAAUGGGUUCCAAGACUUUGUUGAUGUCAAAGCUGGAACUUAUCAAGUCGUUAUAGGGCACCUUGUGUUAGGGGUGAUUACGUUCGCAUUAUUAAACAGAAUGUUUAACGUAUUAAUGUUGACCGCUAUAUUUAUCCUCUCUAUUCUUGUUUUUUUACAAACUUUUAAUUUCUACGAGUCAGCGCAUAAGGUCGUUAUGUGAUUUGGUACUGAAACAGGUCAUGUUUGACUCCGCCGCAUUUUUGCGCCUGUCCCAAGUCAGAUUCCACUGGCCUUUGUUAGUCUUGUUUUAUUUUUAAUUUCAGUUUCUUGUGCAUAACUUGGAGCUUAGUAUGGCGUUCAUUAUUACUGAACUGGUAUAUACAAAAAAAAAUAGGGGCCAGUUGAAGGACGCCUCCGGGUUCAUUGAAGACCUAUUGGUAACCUUAUGCUGUUGUCUGUUCUAUGGUCGGGUUUUUGUCUUAUAGAUACAUUCCCCAUUUCCAUUCUCAAUUUUAUAACAGACGUUUUAAAAAUUUUGCAUCGAUUUAUAGCUUAUAAAUAAUUAAGAAUAAUGACGCCUUUUUCUCCAUAAGCCAACAUUAUUUUUAGAGAAUUUGAUUAUUUUGUAAGUAUUGUUCCUAACGUGUCUACGUGUUUACGUGCAUCACUGAUAUUUAGAUUUUGAAGUUCGUGAUUAAAUUUAAUUCAGAACAGACCAUCGGACACACGACAUUUUAAGAGCAUUUUUCUCAUAUAUUGCCCUAGAAUUUAAUGAUAAAAAGAACGUGUUUGUAAUCCUAUAUUUCUUUUAUCAUGUAUUGUCAAUAUUUAUUACGGGCAGUCAGACAACAUAUAAUAGAACAAUGAGUUUUGAAAACAACAGAGAGAUGGCACUCCUUCUGCUGUACAUUCGAAUGAAACUCAUU
rnacentral:lncRNA from 1 species